GCUGCGGCGGCGGCGGAGGAGGAGAAGGAGGAGGAGGAGGCGGCGGGAGCGCGGCACGCAGCCGGGGAUGGGAUAUACAAAAACACAAAGGAAAAGCGGCCGGACUGCUCGGGGGCCAGAAGGCUGCAAGUUUUGCUUUUCUUGAAACUGUACUCGAAACUGUUCGCUGUCUGGGAGUCUACAGGAAAGUACGCGAGAGGAGUUCUUUGCCUGGGGUUGUAGCUCGCUUCGUUAUUGCUAAGGGGAGAAAUAAGCACCGAAAGCGCUUCGGCUUUACCCAGCGGCCGCGAGAACCGAUCGCACAGCGGCGGGCAGCGCUCCGGGACCCCGCGGAACCCCGCAGCGGCGGACGGGCGCAGCUCGAAGAGGAGCGGUGGAGCGAGAGCACAAAGACGGGACCGAGACCGGGACCGAUCCCAGCCCGGAACGACGGACCGCGGGUUUCACCGCUGAAAAGCCGGCGGAGCUCCGAACCACACCUCGGGGGGGGCCGGGCCGCGCUCGGCGGUUCCUUUCCUCGCAUCAAUUUCCACUUCAAGAAAUAACCCCCGCCCGCGCCCGAAAUAAAAUAAAAUCAGUAAA